rnacentral:lncRNA from 1 species
CCUCUGUCUCUCCUCCAAAAUUUCCUCUUAAAUUCUUUCUGGUAAUAAUACCAGAAAAAACAUGUAUUCUACCCAUGUCACCUCCUUCAUCUCCACCCCUUUUGUUACAUCAAAAAACACGCACACACACACUAAAGUUCUUCAUCCUAAGCUAUGCACCUCAACUCCAAGAAUGUCACUUAACCAAAAUCCAAACACCAAUCUCAUAACCACCAUUACUAAGCUUCUAUAGGGUCAAUCCCUACCACCCCAGCUCCUCAUCUCCACCGUCCGUUCCACAUGGUCCACCACGUGGCACCUCAUGAUGUCUCAGCUCGCUCCAUCCGACCCAACCGGCUCCUACACCCGACCCACUUCUCAAUUUCGUAUAAAUUCUAACCCCAAAUUCUCCAAAAAUCUCCACCUUUACGUGGGUCUGCCUUGUCCUUGGGCCCACAGAACUCUAAUUGUCCGAGCUCUUAAGGGUCUAGAAGAUUCUAUUCCGGUCUCCAUUGCUUCUCCGGGCAUCGACGGGUCAUGGGAAUUCCGGGUUCAUACUGACCCGAAUAUGGGUAAGCUGGUUCCGGGUUUGGAUAAAGCCAAUGGGUGUAAAACUUUGAGAGAGGUGUAUAAGCUGACACGCCUUGUCCUUGGGCGCACCGAACUCUAAUUGUCCGAGCUCUUAAGGGUCUAGAAGAUUCUAUUCCGGUCUCCAUUGCUUCUCCGGGCAUCGACGGGUCAUGGGAAUUCCGGGUUCAUACU